rnacentral:rRNA from 1 species
GGGGAAUAUUGCACAAUGGACGAAAGUCUGAUGCAGCAACGCCGCGUGGAGGAUGACACAUUUCGGUGCGUAAACUCCUUUUAUAUAGGAAGAUAAUGACGGUACUAUAUGAAUAAGCACCGGCUAACUCCGUGCCAGCAGCCGCGGUAAUACGGAGGGUGCAAGCGUUACUCGGAAUCACUGGGCGUAAAGAGCGUGUAGGCGGGUAUAUAAGUCAGAAGUGAAAUCCAAUAGCUCAACUAUUGAACUGCUUUUGAAACUGUAUACCUAGAAUGUGGGAGAGGUAGAUGGAAUUUCUGGUGUAGGGGUAAAAUCCGUAGAGAUCAGAAGGAAUACCGAUUGCGAAGGCGAUCUACUGGUACAUUAUUGACGCUGAGACGCGAAAGCGUGGGGAGCAAAC